AACGAACUAAAAUGAUAGAAUAUCUGCUAUAUAAUUCAAUUCACAGGUUUUAAAUUAAUCUCACUUUUUAAAGUGAUCCUACAGUAUACUGUUGACGGAAGUCAUCGCGUUGCCACACGAUCGGCCAAUCAUACGCCAGUUACUCCUUUACGUCAUUUGACAGGUAGAAUCACUAGGAAGUAAACAUCUAUAAUGGCGAGAAAGUCGUUCAAGUUAAGCCACUACUCAAAUAUGUUACUAAAUGUGAUUUUAUAUAGUAUUUUUAAUGAGUUCGCCUUCGCCUUUCCGUCAUAUCGCGAAUCCAGACAGUCAGAAAGUUUGGAGAAACCCACCUCGGCACCAAAUGUUCAAGAGGUUGGUUAUCGACUUUCUAGCGUCAGUCUCUUCUCUAUUAGUUUGUAUACUUACUAUAAUACACGGUCUGUUGUUUCGCAGGUUGCAAGACUCCAUUUCGGAGUAAUCGCGUCUGUUGUGAUCGUUAUUGUAGCUGCAAUAGCAGCUGCUGUCUUCAUCAUCCGGAAAUAUUGCUGUCCGCAGAGUAAUGUAACAUAUAGAUAUUCAGAGCUGCGACAAAUGGAAGAACAAAAUGCAGCCAGAGAAGAGGACCAUGAUUCAGAUGAAGACCUUUUGGAGUGAAUCAUGUAGCAUAAUUUAUCCUUGACGCUUCUCUUCCUUUUUAAUGCUGUGACAUUAUAUGGCCAAAAGCAUCACAUGGAUCAUUUAAAAACCACCAGGAGUUUCUGAAAUAUUUAUAUCUGUUCCACCAUUUUUCAGCACGGAUAUGUCCACCAACCAGUUCAAAUUAGCUGGUUACAUUUGGCAGGAUUGGAGGGCUAACAUCCCCUACAUGAAAGAACUGUGGGGAAAUGGUAUAAGAUGCUUAUUAGAGAUAAAAGUUACUAUGAUUUAUUUGCAGGCAAAUAACUUAUGAAAAGAGCUGUUAUGGUUACUGUGCCCAUUGCUUAAUACUUGGUCAAUAUUGGAACUACUUUUUAAAUGCACUCCUUGUUUAGAACUUGUUUAGUAUUUUCUUGAAUUUCUCAAUGCAAGGCAUGUUGUACCAAAGUCUGUUGAAAUGAUUGUAUUGUGCCUGACGUUUUCUUGAUUUUAAAACAGCUUUAUGAUCUCAGGGUUGUUCCCACUGGAUACUGUGAACAGUGCCACAGAUACCAGAAGCACAUCUGAAUAAGCAUUUUACUGUAAACCAGACUUAUCAAUUGUAAUGAUGCUGUAGAGUUUGUAUUUCAGUGCCUUACUGAAAUCUGUUACUGUAAAAUGUAACUCUGUGUAUUUGAACAAUAAUCUGCACUCAUAUGCUGGUGUUGGUAUUUACUAAUGGCAGUGUUUUGACUUCACCACUAUUUUAAUAUGACUAUGUUGAUAGAGAAUUAUUAUGUGCAGUCCAGAGCUCCAUUAUGGUGUUUCUAUUUACUCAGUUCAUGGUGGGAAGUAUUUUUGAUGAUGGAAUUCUGUAUCUUUAGAUUUUCAUAUUUACACCUUAUCUGAGACUGAACUACUGACUACUUAA
rnacentral:lncRNA from 1 species